ACUCCUACGGGAGGCAGCAGUGGGAAUAUUGGACAAUGGGGGCAACCCUGAUCCAGCAAUGCCGCGUGUGUGAAGAAGGCCUGCGGGUUGUAAAGCACUUUCGUUGGGGAGGAUGGUGCGCAGUUCAAAUAGGGCUGUGUAUUGACGUUACCCAAAGAAGAAGCACCGGCUAACUCUGUGCCAGCAGCCGCGGUAAUACAGAGGGUGCAAGCGUUAAUCGGACUGACUGGGCGU
rnacentral:rRNA from 1 species